rnacentral:misc_RNA from 1 species
GAGGGCGGAGAGUGGAGAGAGCUUGGAGACGAGGAAGUUGGGACGGGGGAGGGCGGCGGAUCUCGGGAUCUUGCGGUUCCAGUAGCGGAGAACGGAGGCCUUGGCGGUGAAGGGGUUCGGAGAGGCGACGGAGGCAAAGAAGACGGGCUUGGAGGCGAGGGAGAUGGGGAGGGGACAGAAUGUGAGGAUGAGGAAAGAGAGGGGGAG